rnacentral:ncRNA from 2 species
AGACCAAAUAGAGGCGCGGCUUUCAAAAGUAGCAGGAUGGAGGUUGCCAAAACCGCAGAAGUCUUGUAAAAGG